AGCGAACGCUGGCGGCAGGCCUAACACAUGCAAGUCGAGCGCCCAGCAAUGGGAGCGGCAGACGGGUGAGUAACGCGUGGGGAUAUGCCCAAUGGUACGGAAUAACCCAGGGAAACUUGGAUUAAUACCGUAUGUGCCCUUCGGGGGAAAGAUUUAUCGCCAUUGGAUGAACCCGCGUCGGAUUAGCUAGUUGGUGAGGUAAAGGCUCACCAAGGCGACGAUCCGUAGCUGGUCUGAGAGGAUGAUCAGCCACACUGGGACUGAGACACGGCCCAGACUCCUACGGGAGGCAGCAGUGGGGAAUAUUGGACAAUGGGCGCAAGCCUGAUCCAGCCAUGCCGCGUGAGUGAUGAAGGCCUUAGGGUUGUAAAGCUCUUUCGCCGGUGAAGAUAAUGACGGUAACCGGAGAAGAAGCCCCGGCUAACUUCGUGCCAGCCGCCGCCGUAAAAC
rnacentral:rRNA from 1 species